CUUGCUCUCUCAUCAUGGAAUCCAAAAGGGUCUCUUUAAGUGCUCUGUGCCACCAUUCUUCCUCUCCCUGCCCACUGAGACCAAAGCCUGGACUCCUUCCUGUUCUGGGCCAGGUGUUGUGAGUACAUUUACCUGGAGGAGGAGAGACAAGCAAACAGCCCAAGCCUUCAUUUUCUUGUCUGUGUGAAGAGAAGCUGGGGUCUGCCACCCCAGGCUCCCUCACCCUGCCUGCAUGGCCCUGCUCCACCGAGGGUCCCAGCCCACCACGGUCCCCGGAUGUCCCGCACACGCUGCUGCCUGGACUUUAAAGCAGGUGCUGCUGCUGCUGCUGUUGGCUGCCUUCAAUUAACAGAGCUCCUCCCUGUCCACCACCUUGAGCUCCUAAGUCCUGUAAACUUGAGACGCUUGGUCUUGGCAUGAAAAUUGUCUCCAAAAGUGUCCCAGAAUUGCUGCAAGAGUCCACUGAGAACCACAAUUCCACAGCCGUCUAUGGAGCACUUUACUCUAGGCAAAGGGGACACAGCGGUGAACAAAACAAAGGUCCCCGUCCUGGUGGAGGUGACAUCCUAGUAAGAGAGACAGAAACUAAGCAAGUGAAUAUGUCCAAAGUCAGGAUGGGAGUGGGGAUGAGGGCGAUGAAGGAAAAGUAAGGUGGAGGUGGGCUGGGGGUGUGGCUCAGUGGUGGAGCACUUGCCUAGCGUGUGCAAGGCCCUGGGAUUAGCCCCAGCACUGCUAAAUAAAUCAGUAGGAAAGAGAGAAGGGAGUGUAUCCUGGACAGGGAUUUGAAGAGUGCACACUGUUCUGUGAUAGGGUCAUGUAUCGGAAGUGAAUCAAGAAAGUGAAGGAUACGAGGUACAAUGGCACAGACCUGUAAACCCGCUUCUAGGGAGGUUGAGACAGGAGGAUCACAAGUUGGAGGCCAGC